rnacentral:lncRNA from 1 species
UGUUAACCAAAUAUUCAAGUAUAUCUCCAUCACAGAAUCUGAUUCCCUUCUUAUGCUUCACAGAUUGCUUUGUUUUGUAUUUCUCCUGUUCUAAUAAAUAUAUCAUUACUCAUCCCUUCUUUCUCCUCUAUUUUUCUUUCAGAGGCAAAGUUCGUAAAGUCCUCCAUAUUUUUAUGGUUAUAUUUUUCUUGAAUUUAAAAAUAAAUAUGAACACCAAAGAAAAAUAUCAUCCUAAUAUAGCUGCACAUUUGUUUCCUGAGAAUACAGUUAUCUAGAAAAUAUGCUUUCACAAUUAGACUGGGGACUGAAGACACCAUGAUCAGAGGAACACAGUACGUAAAAUAAAUUGCACGUUAUACACA